GCGCAGCGGACCUCACUAAGGAUCAACGCAAUAUAAUGGUGGACAUCUUAGAGGAUGUCAGUUCGCCGGAGGUGAAAAGCUUAAAUGUAGGCCGGUCGUUAACCGCGGCACUAUGUGUUGCGGUUACAUUUUAAAAAAUUUAAAGCUGACACACUGCUGAAUGGAACACAUUGCUAGAAUGUCUUUUUAAAGCUCCUACUGUGAUCAAGCAAUUUCCCGCAUAUCUUGGUAUAUAUCCGCGUGCACUGAACUGUUGUUAUAAAUUGCUUACGCGCCAUAUAAAAAACUGAAUGUAUGUAGAAUUAAUUCGCGGUGGAUGUACGGAGCUUUCGUGAGCACUAGUCCUUCGCUGUACAUGCAAUUCGUUUCGAAACCAAACUCCUAUUGUGACUCAUCGCUUUGUUGUUGGGCGGAUUAUGACUUUUCCAAUAGUGCACGCUUCAGCGAUUCAGUGCCGAAUUCGCUCUGCGAUGAAGCUAUGUAAAAGUAUGCCUGGAAACAUCCGGGUGUCCAAAUACACUCACCAAUGAAUUCUUUAAUCUUUAAACGCACUAGUACGCUGACAAUAUAAGUUCGAGACUGAUCGUCGACUAUAUGCACGCACAGUAAUCGAAACUACAUGUAUCAUUCAAAUAAGUGCCGUACAAUAACUAUACCUGCACGCGUUGUUUUGAAAAGCGUGUCGAUAAGCUCGUAAUUUCAGAGAAGCGAGAUAAAUUGCAGAACAAUCUCGCCUGCUGCUGCGACAGCAUACAUCGGACUAUGCAUGUAAUAUCCUCAGCGGACUUGACAUUAUCGUACAAGGUGAACAUGCGAUUAUGUCCUACUAUAUCUCAAGAAUUCCAGUCCAUUAUUCCAGGCGUCUUAUGAGUUUGCUCACGGUCCUCUAUGUGGUCCCAUAACAUGGGAGCCUUCGCCUGAUGGUGAAUUGGUAUUUCCGGCGACGGCGGCGAUGCAUUUUGGAACCGAAAGUAACGGCACGGCGCGAUCUAUGGUAGAAUCUGAAAAAGGCGCACUUCGGUGAUCACACCUAUCAGAGUGCUAAAAUUUAGGUAUAUCUCGAUGGGCCCCUCGAAUCUCCCUUCAUAGUGUAUCCGGAAAACAUUUCGUUGAAAUGCGUUCCGUUUAGUUUUCACCGAACUCUUCCAUUUGUCAUGCAAUUCCGAUGGUAUUUUGGCAUCGUCAUUGCUGCAAGACUUUAAGUGGAAUUUGGAACAACUCGGUCUUCUGCAUACGCACUUAAGAAUAUCAAGUAUUGACGACGAGUCACCGGAAGUUUGCCUGCGUUAAGAACUAAGUGAGUUGCAAUGUGGCCACUGAUAUUGAUCACAUGAAGCCUGAGUUUAAUGCUGACGCUGUUCGUGGCAAUAUUAUGUCGCAUGUGGCUGGGGCCUGUUCACAACAAUCACAACAGACACAAAAGGUACGAGUAUUGGCUGCAUGACAAACCACUCGGCCCAUAAGUGCAGCAGUCUGUCAGAAUAUGAUAUUUAUAUUUUCACAUAAGAAAACUAGUAUAUGUAAUUAAUUUCAUUGUUUCAUUGCAACAUGUUAUAUUUUUUUAUUUAUAACCAGAGUCGUGAAUUUUGUUUAGUUGGUGCCCGGGUUAGAUUGGCUUAGGUCAGGUACGCUUCCAUAGCUGAAACUCACUUGUACGAAGUAAAUGAAAAAUUGUAAAGCUCCUUAUUUCGCAAGGACAUGAUCAACAAAAAUUGUUGAAAUAAGAGAUAAUAAUUUUGGCUCCCAGUUAGGCAAAUAUGUCACAGUAUGAGAGGAAAUGAGAAGAAAUCACUUUAGUAUAUAUAUACGUACCGUUGUUCUUUAUUUUAGGAAAUUUAAACCCAAAACAAAACACAUUCAAUAUGGGUAUUGAAAUUAUGAAAAGAAAUUCUGAAUUGAGAAUUAACUGUAGAAACCCGACUAGAAUUAUAUGAA